rnacentral:rRNA from 1 species
UACGUAGGCAGCAAGCGUUGUUCGGAAUCACUGGGCGUAAAGCGUGCGUAGGCUGUUUGGCAAGUUGGAAGUGAAAGCCCAGGGCUCAACCCCUGGAAUUGCUUUCAAAACUGCCAGACUCGAAUCUCGGAGAGGAUAGCGGAAUUUCCAGUGUAGUAGUGAAAUACGUAGAUAUUGGAAGGAACACCAGUGGCGCAAGCGGCUAUCUGGACGAGUAUUGACGCUGAGGCACGAAAGCGUGGGGAGCAAACAGG